ACUUUGAAUGUAAUAUGCUUUAAAUAUAUAAACUUUGUUCAUUUUUGUCUUAUUUCCUAAUUUUUUAACUUUUAAAAUAUGUUACAGGAAGUUUAUCAUGAAAAAGAUAUCAAGGCAUUUUUUGAUAAAGCAAAACAUGAGAUCAGUACUAUAAAAAUAGUUGGACCAGAAGAAGAUCUAAGUCAAGCUAAAGCCAGAAACAUGGGAAUGGAUUUUUGCCGUCAGGAUGAAAAGUGUGAUUAUUAUUUUAGUCUGGAUGCAGAUGUUGUUUUGACAAACCCAAGAACUUUAAAACUUUUGAUUGAACAAAACAGAAAGAUCAUUGCUCCUCUUGUAACUCGUCAUGGAAAGUUGUGGUCCAACUUCUGGGGAGCACUGAGUCCUGAUGGAUAUUACGCUAGAUCUGAAGAUUAUGUGGAUAUUGUUCAAGGGAAGAGAGUGUAAGUCAUGUAAUUUAAUCUUUUAAUGUAAAACACCAUAAUCCAAGGAUAUAGUUUUAUUUGACAUGUGUCUCUUUCCUAUGUAUAUUUGAAGGCAG
rnacentral:lncRNA from 1 species